rnacentral:rRNA from 1 species
CAGUAGCCGCGGUAAAACGGAGGGUGCAAGCGUUAAUCGGAAUUACUGGGCGUAAAGCGCACGCAGGCGGUCUGACAAGUCAGAUGUGAAAUCCCCGGGCUUAACCUGCGAACUGCAUUUGAAACUGUCAGGCUGGAGUCUUGUAGAGGGGGGUGGAAUUCCAGGUGUAGCGGUGAAAUGCGUAGAGAUCUGGAGGAAUACCGGUGGCGAAGGCGGCCCCCUGGACAAAGACUGACGCUCAGGUGCGAAAGCGUGGGGAGCAAACAGGAUUAGAUACCCGAGUAGUCCCUGUCUCUUAUAC